UACGGGGGGGAGCAAGCGUUGUUCGGAUUUACUGGGCGUAAAGGGCGCGUAGGCGGCCACCGCAAGUCGACUGUGAAAUCUCCGGGCUUAACCCGGAAAGGUCAGCCGAUACUGCGGGGCUAGAGUGCAGAAGGGGCAACUGGAAUUCUCGGUGUAGCGGUGAAAUGCGUUGAUAUCAUCAGGAAUACCGGAGGCGAAGGCGGCUCACUGGGUAUCUUCUGACGCUGAGGUACGAAAGCUAGGGGGAGCGAACGGG
rnacentral:rRNA from 1 species